UACGGAGGGGGCUAGCGUUGUUCGGAAUUACUGGGCGUAAAGCGCACGUAGGCGGCUUUGUAAGUUAGAGGUGAAAGCCCGGGGCUCAACUCCGGAAUUGCCUUUAAGACUGCAUCGCUAGAAUUGUGGAGAGGUAAGGGGAAUUCCGAGUGUAGAGGUGAAAUUCGUAGAUAUUCGGAAGAACACCAGUGGCGAAGGCGACUUACUGGACACAUAUUGACGCUGAGGUGCGAAAGCGUGGGGAGCAAACAGG
rnacentral:rRNA from 1 species